rnacentral:rRNA from 1 species
GAUGAACGUUGGCGGCGUGCCUAAUACAUGCAAGUCGAACGAAGACUGUAGUAAUACUGUCUUAGUGGCGAACGGGUGAGUAACGCGUGGGUGACCUGCCCCGAAGUGUGGGAUAACAGUCCGAAAGGAUUGCUAAUACUGCAUAAUAUCCAAGAGAUUAGAUGCUUUUUGGAUUAAAGGAGUAAUUCGCUUCGGGAGGGGCCCGCGUCCCAUCAGCUAGUUGGUAAGGUAAUGGCUUACCAAGGCGAUGACGGGUAGGGGACCUGAGAGGGUGGCCCCCCAAAUGGAACUGAAACACGGUCCAUACACCUACGGGUGGCAGCAGUAGGGAAUAUUAGUAAUGGGCGAAAGCCUGAACUAGCAACGCCGCGUGUGCGAAGAAGGCCUUCGGGUCGUAAAGCACUUUUUGAGAGGAUGAGGAAGGACGGUACUCUCAGAAUAAGUCUCGGCUAACUACGUGCCAAGCAAGCCGCGGUAAAGUACGAGAGUAA